ensembl:lincRNA
AUGGUCUGGUUGGUUCUCCAGAGUGGAGGCCCCGACAAAGUUCAGAGUGCAGCAGACCCUGGGGGCCAGCAGCCUGGAACCAGCGGGGCAGCAUCAGGCAGAAGGGACACUGAGGCUGGGGCCAGGGGCUGGCAGGAAGAGUCAGGCCCCAGGCCACUCUGCAGAGUGAAAGACCCCUCCUGGGAGGGCCAGUUGGCGUGGCCAGGUGACCCCAGGAGAGGGACAACAGUAGGCGUCUGCCUUGAGGAGGCCAUAGGUAAAAAGUGUCCCACACCCACGCUGCCUUGGUCCAUUUUGCUGCUGUUGUCCAAACCGAAGACGGCAAUUUCCGGAGAACACAGGCACACUUCCCACAGCUCCAGGGCCGCCAGCUUCACUGUCUGCUGCAGGCGGCCUCCGACACCGCUGCGCUGAGGCUGAGUCCUAGGGACACUCGCAGACACAGGCAGCCCCAGGAUAUCUGUCACACCCUGGGGACCAGGACCAGAUGGCAAGGUGCCAGUCCUGGGAGCCUCUGCCCCUGCCCCUCCAUGAUGGCUGGAGACAGAGGGGCCACGGGGGGCGGGGGUCUUAGAAAACAGUCCAGCCGGUCUGCAUCCAGCCAGCUGAGGGGCUGGCCCCGGAAGGACAUGGAGGUCCCAUGGCUUGGGGUCAGACCAGCUGUUGCUAAUUAUCAGGAGGGACAAGAAACAUCAUAGGCCGCUCCAGAGGCCAUCCUGGGCAGAGGCCGGAGCCCCAGAGGGAAGGGCAGGAAAGAAGCAAACACUCACACACACAGUGGUCAGCUCCGUGUGUGUGCGUGUGUGUGUGUGUGUGUGUGUGUGUGUGUGUGUGUGAUGCUAGGGAUGGAACACUCGGGAUUUUUCACACACCGGUAAGUGCUCUACCACUGAGCCACACCCUUGCCGCACUCUUUCAUUGAGCCCAUUACACACCCAGGGGCCACUGUCAGAUGAAGGAUAAAACAUGGUCUGUCCACACCAUGGAAUAUUAAUCAGUCUUAAAAGAAGGGAAUUCUCACACCCAAGGCCGUGUGAAUGAACCUGAAGACAUUGUGCUGAAUGUGAUAGGCCGGUAACAGAAAGACAAAAUCAUUCUGUUCAUGCCAGGUCCCUGGAGCAGCCAAAGCCGUGGAGACAGAAAGUAGAGUGGUAGGCGCAGGGGCCGGGGCAUCGGGUGUGAGGGGGCUGGGACAUCAGGAAGGGUUCGGGUUCCAGAAGAGCUGGGGCAAUGGCUGUGCGGUAGCGAGUGUGUGCUGCGUGCCCUGGAUGUGCACUUGGGCGGGUUAGGGUGAGAAGUCUGUGUCGGGUGUGUUUUACCACAGUAACACGUGUUUCUUUUUGAUCAGAAAUCUGCUGGCAGAGUUUGUGCUGAGCAAGGGCGGUGCUGACAGCUAGCUGCGACGACUCCUGCCCACGUUCACGGCCGAGUUCUUCACACGAACACAUGGCGCGGAGCUGUAAACACGCAAGGGCAUGCUGGCCAGCCAUGGGUGGAUGGGUGGGCACGUGGUGGCCGGGGCAUCUAGGGGACUCGUAAGCUGCCCUCCCCCCCCCCGCCCCCGGCCCGCUGCCGCCAGCCCACUGGUGCAGAGCCAGGGUCCGUUGUGCCUCGAGCCAUCCAAUGCGUGGUUAAGCACUUGGGGAAGGAGCAGACCAGGUAACUUCUGCUGUCAGUGAGGACGGUGAGGGGCAACGCGCAGGUCCCGGUCCUCGGACCACUCCCUCUUCCUGCUCCACCACUCCUGUGGCACAGCAGGACCAGCAAAUCCCUCCCAGAUGUUUGAGCAAGUGGGCUGUCAGGCCAUCAGUAAAUGAUGAACAGUUGCCGUGGCAACAGCCCCAGCCCAUGUUUCAUCUCCUGGAGAGCCUGGCAAGCUCCAGUGAUACUGGGGACAGCCAGGCUGGAAGGGAAGGGGCAUUAGCCACCGGCCGCGCGCCAGGUGACACUGAGGCUCGAGCACAGGAUCGGCGUGGCCCAGGUGAGAUCGGGUUUCCAGGGAACAGAGGAGUGGGUUUGGGACAAGACAGGUGAACGGCACAGUCUGGGGAGCUCAGUUCAGAUAGUCUAGCUGACUUCAGUUAAGAGGACAACUGAACCCCACUCUGGGCUUGGCGAGGUGUGUUCUACUGUCCAGGUCAUAGGAUCCCCUAAGCCUCAGUUUCUCCAUCCAUGAGACAGAGGUAGAAAUUGUACCUGCUCUAUCUGGUCUGCACAAACCGGAACAUGUGUAAAGUCCUGGGCACACACAAGCAUCGAAUAAAUGGUCAUUAGCAUGAUCAUUAUUUGUAAAGAGACUUACAUCUCUUACAGAUGAUGAGGAAAAACACUCUGUAGCUGUGUGUGUGUGUGUGUGUGUGUGUGUGUGUGUGCGCGCGCGCGCGCGCGCGCAUCUGUCCACAUAUCACCACCCCUGCCGGUCUCGUGCCUCCGGGCAUUCCUUUCUCCCUUCCUACAGCUGACCUUGAGCAUUCUUCGCUCAAGGUCACCAUUCUCCAGCUUCGUGUAUCUGCAAGGCUUCGUGCUGCCCAUGCUUGAAAGAGCCUUUCACUGAGAACAGACUCCUCCAGUGGCAGUUGGGUCUUUCUUUCUGCCCUUGUCCUGCAGCCAGGCAUCCUUAGCGGGAAGUCUCUUCUUGUCUCCUGAGUGUGACGUAUCUUUUUUCUUUGAAGACUUUCUACUGCCUGCUUGGAGCAGUCUGAGUACCGGAUGCUUGCUGUAGUUCCCUUCUUGCCCCUCGUGCUUGGGGUUCAUCAAGCUUCCUGGAGCCAGGAUUUGAGGCUUACCCGGUCUGGACACUUGUGCCAGCUGUAAUGUCUGCAGGUAGGUGGCUGUCCCCUCCCUCCGCCCUCCGGCCCAGCUGAGCAUGGCUGUCCCUGGACCAAUGUGUUUAGAGGUCUUCUCUCUGCAGGUCUCGCUUUGGAGGUCUGCGACUGCCACGUCUUCAAGCUCAUCGAUCUGUGUUUCUGCAGUGGGUAGUCACAUCCAGCACAAUCUUCAUCUUGGACCGUACAGUCCUCGUCUCCAGGGCUUUGACCUGGGUCUCUUAGCGUGUCCGCACCUCCACCCCACAGCUCCAAUCUUUCCUCUAGCUUUUCAGAUAUGCGGGGUGGAGUCCUCACAGCUGUCUUAAUAUUGCUGUCUGCUAAGCCUAACAUCCAAGUAGUUCCCAGUUGGUUUCAACUAACUGGUUGUUUUUCUCCUUGUGGGACGGGUUUUCCUGCCUUUUUGUUGGAUUUUUUAUUGAAUGCUCAACAUUGUGAAGUUCACCCUGGUUGGAUGCAGAAUUUUUUUGUAUUCACAUAAAUAUACUUGAACUUAGUUUGAGAAUGAACUGAUUUUUAAAAUGGUCUCACUUUUAGGCUUUAUU